rnacentral:rRNA from 1 species
UACGUAGGCAGCGAGCGUUGUUCGGAAUUACUGGGCGUAAAGAGUGUGUAGGCGGCAUAAUAAGUUAUUGGUGGGAAAUCGAGGCUCAACCUCGUGGAAACUGAUAAUACUGUUUUGCUUGAGUACAGGAGAGGUUAACGGAACUCCAUGUGGAGCGGUAAAAUGUGUAGAUAUAUGGAAGAACAUCAAUAACGGCGAAGGCAGUUAACUAUUCUGUUACUGACGUUGAGGCACGAAAGCGUGGGGAGCAAAAAGG